AAACGCGGCAGCUGGGCGGCCGUGGCGGUGAGGGGAGAGGCGGCCGGCGCUGCAUGCGUGUUUACGUAUCUCGGAUGGGUGUGGGAAGAGGAGAUAGAAAGAUUCUAAUGAAAAGAUGGAGGGGAGAGAGAGAGGGGGUUGAGAAGAAGGGGAGGCACCACCUUUCUUUUCUCUGCUCUUCCUGGGGAUCUGAAAACUCCUCCUAACAGGCCUUUCGGGCUCUUCGGGGCCUCUGGGCAGGGCGGCCGCGCCCGCCUCAGAGGAGUCCUGAGGCUGCUCGUGGCUGAGGCUCUGGGCGGCCUCGGCCCCCGCGUUCUCCUCACGCCCAGCGCCGCCGCUGGGCUCAGCGAUGUUGAGGCCGCCGCCGCCGCCAUUUUGUUGGGAGGACUCAAGCUCCGGAAGCGCCUGCUUCAUCUCGUCGUCUCCGCCGCCGCCACUUUCCCAACUCGCAUCCGUCGGCUGACAGGCCUCCGUCUCCACAGCAGUCGCCAUCGCGCCGGCCUAAGGAGCUCUGGGAAGCUUCUGCCCACAAGGU
rnacentral:lncRNA from 1 species